rnacentral:tRNA from 1 species
CGGGGUAUAGUUUAACGGUAGAAUGCGCGGCUGGGGGUCGUGCGGCGGAGGUUCAAUUCCUCCUACCCCGA